GAGGAGGCGGAGGUGGAGGAGGUGGUGGCUAGGUACUGCUGCUCCAGCCCCUGCCUUGCAGGACUAGGUGGCGGAUAGAAAACCACUCCCAGGCCUCCCAGGCCCACGCGCGCCCAACCACUCCUAGCCGAUACUCACCUUCUAGUGCUGAGCACCUGGCUGGGAGCAGAGGGGCACAAAGGCCCACUCUCGGGCCCUGGCCGAAUGGUCUACUACGGGAUGGCGCCCAGAAGUAGAGAUGCCCACUGAUUGGCGGCCUGUCAAGUUAGAAUUUCUUCUUUCCGGCAGCAACCUUCAUCUCUGGAAUCAUAAUGAUGAAAAUAUUUUACCUGCCCUGCUUCCCAUCUGUCAAACCCACACUAUCUAACUGUUAUCCAAUAGGCCCAGCUUUAUUUGUGCUCCCUUGGACAGAACUUGCUGCUAGAACUGUAAUUCUAGAUAACUUAGUGGUACCAGACUCUGCUUUUUGAUACAAGCCAGAUGAUAACCAAUAAUUGUAACUUCUUUUCUCAUUAUUAUGGCAAAGGAAAAUAAGAAGAAAGAUAUUUCAUGUAAUUAACAUGGUAAUGUACCUCAUUGUUCAAGGUACUUACUCCUGUCCUUGGUAAUAUAGCAGUUUUUAAUAUCUCAUGUCUUAAUGAAGCUUUCUCUGAGAGAGAGACCUACCCACUUGUAUACUCAGAAAUACCCUAUUAAACUCUGGAAAUGUAA